ACUUAAAUAGCUUAUUUUAGAGCAUAGCAUUGAAGCUGCUAAGGAAAUUUUUAAAUUUUUAAGUA
rnacentral:tRNA from 1 species